rnacentral:rRNA from 1 species
GACGAACGCUGGCGGCGUGCUUAACACAUGCAAGUCGAACGGAAAGGCCCUGCUUUUGUGGGGUGCUCGAGUGGCGAACGGGUGAGUAACACGUGAGUAACCUGCCCUUGACUUUGGGAUAACCUCAGGAAACUGGGGCUAAUACCGGAUAGGAGCUCCUGCUGCAUGGUGGGGGUUGGAAAGUUUCGGCGGUUGGGGAUGGACUCGCGGCUUAUCAGCUUGUUGGUGGGGUAGUGGCAUACCAAGGCUUUGACGGGUAGCCGGCCUGAGAGGGUGACCGGCCACAGUGGGACUGAGAUACGGCCCAGACUCCUACGGGAGGGAGCGGUGGGGGAUAUUACAAGAUGGGCGGGAGCCUGAUGCAGCAACGCCGCGGGCGGGAUGGCGGCCUUGGGGUUAUAAACCGAUUUCGCCUGUGACGGAGAGUGAGUGACGGUAAUGGGUAAAGAAGCACCGGCUAACUACGUG